rnacentral:rRNA from 1 species
AAACUGAAGAGUUUGAACAUGGCUCAGAUUGAACGCUGGCGGCAGGCCUAACACAUGCAAUUCGAGCGGUAACAGGGGGUGCUUGCACCCCGCUGACGAGCGGCGGACGGGUGAGUAAUGCAUAGGAAUCUGCCCGUUAGUGGUG